rnacentral:rRNA from 1 species
UGACCUCGAAUCAGUAGA